rnacentral:tRNA from 1 species
GCGGGAGUAGUUCAAUGGCAGAACAACAGCCUUCCAAGCUGUAUAUGCGGGUUCGAUUCCCGUCUCCCGCUCCA